CCUUAUUUGUUUCUUCAGUUCGACUCUUUUUCGUUUAUCAAUUUAGAGUUAUUACGUUGUUUUUGAACAAUAUUUCCCAUCAUUGAAGAUGAAUUGUUUUGAUGAGACUCAAGUGAUGAGUGUAAGUGGAAGGGUGAGAAUGAGUUGCGCAUAAAUAGCUUACAUCAAUAUAGAAACGUGAAUGUGGUGUUGGGGUACUAUUAAUUGCUUGGGUAAACUGGUCUUGUGAAUAUUAUAGUUUAUAUUAAUUUUCUU
rnacentral:lncRNA from 1 species